UACGAAGGGGGCUAGCGUUGCUCGGAAUCAUUGGGCGUAAAGAGCGUGUAGGCGGCCCGAUAAGUCCGCCGUGAAAGUCCAGGGCUCAACCCUGGGAUGCCGGUGGAAACUGUCGGGCUAGAGUCCGGAAGAGGCGAGUGGAAUUCCUGGUGUAGCGGUGAAAUGCGCAGAUAUCAGGAGGAACACCAAUGGCGAAGGCAGCUCGCUGGGACGGUACUGACGCUGAGACGCGAAAGCGUGGGGAGCAAACAGG
rnacentral:rRNA from 1 species